UUUCUAGGUGGGCAAGUAUCCUAAAAGUACCCGAUCCUGUCUGAUCUUGGGUGCAAAGCAGGGUCAGCCCUGGUUAGUACUCUGCUGGGGACUGUCAACGAAGGUCUAUGUACAAAGAAAA
rnacentral:rRNA from 11 species